rnacentral:lncRNA from 10 species
GUAAAACCAAAGACAGGCAGCCCGGCGCCAGGCCUGAAACCAGGCCUGGGCCUGCCUGGCCUAAACCCAGUAGUUAAAAAUCAACUCAUAACUUAGAAACUGAUGUUAUUCAUAGAUUCCAGACAUUGUAUAGAAGAACAUUGUGAAACUCCCUGUCCUGUUCUGUUUCUCUCUGACCACCGGUACAUGCAGCCCCUGUCAUGUACCGCCUGCUUGCUCAAAUCAAUCACGACCCUUUCAUGUGAAAUCUUUAGUGUUAUGAGCCCUUAAAAGGGACAGAAAUUGUGCAUUCGGGGAGCUUGGAUUUUAAGGCAGUACCUUGCCAAUGCUCCCAGCUGAAUAAAGCCCUUCCUUCUACAACUAGGUGUCUGAGAGGUUUUGUCUGCGACUCGUCCUGCUACAUUUCUUGGUUCCCUGACCAGGAAGCGAGGUGACUGACGGACGGCCGAGGCAGCCCCUUAGGUGGCUUAAGCCUGCCCUGUGGAGCAUCCCUGAGGGGGACUCUGGCCAGCCUGAGUGAUGUGGUCCGAAGAGCGCUUGGGUAGGAAAUUGCCCCUGUGGAAUGCCUCGUCAGAGCAGCGCAUAGCAGGCCCCCACGGAGGAUUAACACAGUGGCUGAACACUGGGAAGGAACUGGCCCUUGGAGUCCAGACAUCUGAAACUUGCUCUCAAGAGUUUGGGGUUUUUGAGGUUUGCCAUGGUACAUCAAUAGAAUAUCAAAUGACAGGAUAAGACCUAGAAGACAAAUGUAAAAUUCCAAAAUGCAUGCUGUGGAUGAAUGUAGCAAUAUGAGAUGAGUACUAUUUGGGAUGCAGAAAGCAAUAUUUAACUGAUCAGCUGCCACUCACAUCAUGAAUCAGAAGCAGCCUUAAAAGAAAGGAUCCCUUCUUGCUAUUUUGAAGGGAAAUAACUGAGUCCUUUGGAGCUGAAAAUGAAAAACUGAGUAGCUGGUGGAAGAAGCGAGAUGGGUUUGGAACUCACAGGCUAUGUUUCUGGAUGCAUCACAUUUGCAAGAGGGAAGUUUUGGUGUCCCUGUGGGUAUAUUAGCACUCCUUUACUCCAUUUCUCUGUAGCUACUCAAGCAAGUGACAAAAGGCUGCAGAGUCCAAGAAAGGUGACAGAUAUGAAGAAAUGCAGUGGUUGCAAAGGACAAAGACAAUGGCAACACAAAUAAAAGAAAUUAUGAGAAGGAAAUAAAUGAACCUAAGAGACCCUUCAAGACACUAAUUUCCUGUGAGUUUGUCAGAGGGAUUUGUCAAGCGCCACUCACAUCACAAAAUUUAUGAAGACAAACCCUGGAACAGAAUUAUUUCACACCUAUGAAUCAGAUUAAAAAAAAAACCCAAACGUUUGUUGAUGUAAACUGAAAAUAAAUUUGGAAUGAGCUGUGUGCACUUGGAAAUGAGAAGCUCUGUCCUGCACCAUGAAGGGCUUUGUGUGCAUCCAUGGGUUGCUUCUGCAUGCAGAAUGAGACUGGAACAAAAAAGAACCAUUUAAAACACAGGAUCCAGGUGAUUCAGGAUUUUAAAUUGAAGAUUGAUCAUACAAGCUGGAAGACGUCCCAUGACACUUUAUUUGAAAUUGGAACAUCAGAAUUUGGUUGGGUCUAUCUUUUACUAACUCUGUACCAUGAAAAAAUUAUUUAAUAUUUCUGAACUGUGUAAAGAAUAAAAUUAGAUUAUGAAUUCAAUCUGUUGCUGCAUAAUCAAUUACCUCCAAUCUUAGCAGCUUCAAACAACAAACAUAAAUAAACUUAGUUUCUGCAGCUCAGGAAUUCAGGAGUUUAGCUAGAUGGUUCUGGCUUGGAGUCUUCCAUGAGGUUGCCAUCUAGAGGUCAGCCAAGGCUGCAGUCAUUUGAAGGUUUGACUGGGGCUUGAGAAUUCACUCUCAUGGCUAGUCACAUGUUCACUUCUGUGUUGGCUGUUGGCAGGAAUUUUCAGAACCUUGCCAUGUGGGUCUCUCCAUAUGGCUGCUUAAGCAUCCUCAUGACACGUCAGCUGGUCUCCCCAGUGGGAGUGAUCGAAGAGACAGAAGCAAGAAUGUCUUCAAUGACCUACCCUUGUAAGUCACAUACCUCACUUUCACCUAAUCCUCAAAAGGAGAGAGUUAGACUCCACCUUUUGGAGGCAAGAAUGUCAAAGAAUUUGUGGACAUAUUUCAAAACCAUCACUGGAUCAUAUAUGUGAAAAUAAACACUUACAAAAAAUAAAGUGCUAUAAAUGGGAUACAUUCAGAUAAGGAACCCUUCUUUCAAUGCCAUCCCAGAAUUCCCUCAGCUUAAUUCUCCCAGAAGCUUCAAGACCUUCUAAAAUUGUUUGGGCUUGGUCUUUAUAGUCUGGAGGCACCAAAAGCCUGAGAUUUGUAUAGAUUAAGGAAGAAUCAGAAUCUAAGAGACAUUAAAUGACUAGCCAAAGAUCACACUGCUAGUUGGUGGAAGUCCGAGGAGUUUGUCCUAAGUGUGCCUAACUUCAAAUCCCCUCAUCUUAAUCAUUGUGUCACAUCAUGUCAUAAAAAUGGAUGAAAGAAGAAAGAAGACACAAACACCCAGUAUUAUUUUAGGACAAUUUCAUGGCAUUAAGUGUGGAUUUUCGUUUUAGCUAACAUUUUCAUGAAGGAAAAUCUUUGAGGAUGUUCUCUCCAUUAAAAAAAGAAGGAAAAAAACUCAAGAUAAUUAUAGAUUUACAUGCAGUUGUAAAAGUUAGUAAUGUAAAGAGAAGGCUUGUACACUUUGCCUAAUUUCCCCAGUGGUAACUUUUUUAGAGCUAUAGUAUGAUAUCACAACCAGGAUAUUGACAUCAGUCAAUCCACUGAUCUUAUUCAGUUUUCCUAAGUUUACUCUUUAAUGUGUGUGUGAAGUUCUACACAAUUUUAUUACUCGUAUAAGUUCGUGUAUCAUCACCCUGGUUAAAAUACUGAGGGGUUCCAGUGCCACAAGGAUCCCUCCUAUUCUUUUUGAGCCACACCCAUUCCCCUUCUUCCCCAAUUUCUCCACCUCCCUUUCUAACUAUCUGCCACUAGUCUGUCCUCCAUUUCUAAAAUUUUGUCAUUUCAAAAAUUUAAUAUAAGUGGAAUUAUGUAGUAUACAACAAUUUGGAGUUUUGUUUUUGCUCAACAUGAUUUCCUAAAGAUUCAUUCAAGUAGUUCUGUAUAUCGAUAGUGUAUUUCUUUUUAUUGCUGAGUAGUAUUACAAUUUUGUUUAACCAUUCAACUCUUUUUUGUUAGUUUCUUUUUGUUUUUGAGAUGGAGUCUGUUGCCCAGGCUGGAAUGCAGCAGCGCGAUCUCUGCUCACAGCAACCUCUGCCUCCUGUGUUCAAGCUAUUCUCCAGCCUCAGCCUCCUGAGUAGCUGAGAUUACAGGCGUGAGCCACAGCGCCCACCCUAGCCAUUCAACUCUGAAGCACAUCUGGGUUGAUACCAGUUUUGGGCUGUUACAAUAAAACUUCUAUGAACAUUCACGCACAAAUUUUUGUGGGAACAUACGUUUUCAUUUCUCUAGGAUAGAUGUACAGGAAUAAAAUUCUGGGUCAUAUGGUAGUUGCAUGUUUAAAUAUUUAAGAAACUGCUAAACUGCUUUCCAGAGUGUCUGUACCAUUUCACAGUCCUAAAAGCGAUGUAUGAAUGAUCCAGUUUCACCAUUUCCUCAUCAGCAUUUGGUGUUGUAAUUCUCAUUUUAAUAAUGCUUAUAGAUGUGUGGUGAUAUCUCAUUAUGGUGUUCAUUUGUAUUUCUCUAAUGACCAAUAAAUAUUUAACAUAUUUCCAUGUGCCUGCUUUUUUGCCAUUUUAUAUCCUCUUUGGUCUAUAAUGCCUUUUGUCCAUUUUCUAAUUAAAUAUUUAUGUAUUGUUGAGUUUUCAGAGUUCUUUAUAUAUUCUAGAUAUUAUUCCUUUGUCAGCUAUGUGGUUUUAAAAUAUUUAUUUCUAUCUUGUAGCUUGUAAUUUCAUUUUCCUCACGUGGACUUUCACAAAGCAAGUGUUUUUAUUUUUGAUAAAAUCAGAUUUGUCAAGUUUUCCUUCUGUGGAUCAUGAUUUUGUUGUCAAGUCCAAUAACUGUCUGCCUAGCUCCAGAUCCCAAAGUUUGCUCCUGUG